rnacentral:rRNA from 1 species
CCUACGGGAGGCAGCAGUGGGGAAUAUUGGACAAUGGGGGGAACCCUGAUCCAGCCAUGCCGCGUGUGUGAAGAAGGCCCUCGGGUUGUAAAGCACUUUCAGUGAGGAAGAACGCCUGGUGGUUAAUACCCAUCAGGAAAGACAUCACUCACAGAAGAAGCACCGGCUAACUCCGUGCCAGCAGCCGCGGUAAUACGGAGGGUGCGAGCGUUAAUCGGAAUUACUGGGCGUAAAGCGCGCGUAGGUGGCUUGAUAAGCCGGUUGUGAAAGCCCCGGGCUCAACCUGGGAACUGCAUCCGGAACUGGUUAGCCUGGGGGGCGGUGAGGAAAGGAGAAAUGCCAGUGUAGGGGUGAAAUGCGUAGAGAUCGGGAGGAAUACCAGUGGCGAAGGCGGCCUUCUGGACUGACACUGACACUGAGGUGCGAAAGCGUGGGUAGCAAACAGGAUUAGAUACACGUGUAGUC